rnacentral:rRNA from 1 species
GAGUUUGAUCAUGGCUCAGGACGAACGCUGGCGGCGUGCCUAAUACAUGCAAGUAGAACGCUGAAGAGAGGAGCUUGCUCUUCUUGGAUGAGUUGCGAACGGGUGAGUAACGCGUAGGUAACCUGCCUUGUAGCGGGGGAUAACUAUUGGAAACGAUAGCUAAUACCGCAUAACAAUGGAUGACACAUGUCAUUUAUUUGAAAGGGGCAAUUGCUCCACUACAAGAUGGACCUGCGUUGUAUUAGCUAGUAGGUGAGGUAACGGCUCACCUAGGCGACGAUACAUAGCCGACCUGAGAGGGUGAUCGGCCACACUGGGACUGAGACACGGCCCAGACUCCUACGGGAGGCAGCAGUAGGGAAUCUUCGGCAAUGGGGGCAACCCUGACCGAGCAACGCCGCGUGAGUGAAGAAGGUUUUCGGAUCGUAAAGCUCUGUUGUAAGUCAAGAACGAGUGUGAGAGUGGAAAAUUCACACUGUGACGGUAGCUUACCAGAAAGGGACGGCUAACUACGUGCCAGCAGCCGCGGUAAUACGUAGGUCCCGAGCGUUGUCCGGAUUUAUUGGGCGUAAAGCGAGCGCAGGCGGUUUGAUAAGUCUGAAGUUAAAGGCUGUGGCUCAACCAUAGUUCGCUUUGGAAACUGUCAAACUUGAGUGCAGAAGGGGAGAGUGGAAUUCCAUGUGUAGCGGUGAAAUGCGUAGAUAUAUGGAGGAACACCGGUGGCGAAAGCGGCUCUCUGGUCUGUAACUGACGCUGAGGCUCGAAAGCGUGGGGAGCGAACAGGAUUAGAUACCCUGGUAGUCCACGCCGUAAACGAUGAGUGCUAGGUGUUGGAUCCUUUCCGGGAUUCAGUGCCGCAGCUAACGCAUUAAGCACUCCGCCUGGGGAGUACGACCGCAAGGUUGAAACUCAAAGGAAUUGACGGGGGCCCGCACAAGCGGUGGAGCAUGUGGUUUAAUUCGAAGCAACGCGAAGAACCUUACCAGGUCUUGACAUCCCGAUGCUAUUUCUAGAGAUAGAAAGUUACUUCGGUACAUCGGUGACAGGUGGUGCAUGGUUGUCGUCAGCUCGUGUCGUGAGAUGUUGGGUUAAGUCCCGCAACGAGCGCAACCCCUAUUGUUAGUUGCCAUCAUUCAGUUGGGCACUCUAGCGAGACUGCCGGUAAUAAACCGGAGGAAGGUGGGGAUGACGUCAAAUCAUCAUGCCCCUUAUGACCUGGGCUACACACGUGCUACAAUGGUUGGUACAACGAGUUGCGAGUCGGUGACGGCAAGCUAAUCUCUUAAAGCCAAUCUCAGUUCGGAUUGUAGGCUGCAACUCGCCUACAUGAAGUCGGAAUCGCUAGUAAUCGCGGAUCAGCACGCCGCGGUGAAUACGUUCCCGGGCCUUGUACACACCGCCCGUC